GCGUGUUGCAGCAUUGCAGGAGGGUUUAGGAGGCCAAGCAGGGGUCAGGGCUGCCCUCUGUGAGCUGCUGCCCCAGCCAGGGGGGCUGUUUGGGAUGUGGGGCCUCUUUAACCAGGCAAAGUGGGAAAAGAGCACUCGGGAGGGAAGCUGAGCAGCAAACAGCCUGGUUUUGUCUGCAUCUGUGCCCCUUGGAUUCAGACAGGCAUGGGUUACAGACCCAUUCUGAUGAAGAAAUUACGGGUAUUUUUAAAACAAACAGUGUCAUCCCCACCUCCUCCUGUUCCCAAACUUUGAAAAGCUUUUCCUGUCUGAGCUGUCCCUGAAACAACGGCACUUGCCAGGGGUUGAGGCAUAAAUCAGCACUGGAGCUGGAUGGGAUCCAGGCUGUUUUCCUCAGGACUUGUCUGAGCACGAGCAGGCUGUUCUCCGGCCACACUUACCUUUGGAAAAACAACACAAACCAACCAACCAACCAAAAAAAUCUGGCAAAGCAUUUGAGCUGCCCCCGCUCGCUGACUUUGUGUUGAAGCCACUUUUAAACCCCGCAGCAAAGCUUUCCUUGCACCCCAAAGGUUAUUUCGCACAGCGGGGACCCGGAGUGGGGCCACACCAUGGCAACAUUUGUCAGCGAGAAGCUCAGCCGGCUCUUCAUUAACGUGAGGCAGGUCCCUCAGCUGCUGGGGCCCCUCUCUCCCUCCACCGUCAGCAGCUCCGAGGUGCCCAAGGUCUUCUGGAAGCCCUACAUCCACACCGGCUACCGGCCCGUCCAGCAGACCUGGCGCUACUACUUCUCCACCCUCUUCCAGCAGCACAACGAGGCCAUCAACGUCUGGACCCACCUGGUGGCAGCGCUGAUCCUGCUGCUGCGCUUCCAGCAGCUCUCGCGGCGGGUGGACUUCGGGCAGGACCUGCACGCCCAGCCCCUCCUCAUCAUCCUCGCGGCCUCCAUCACCUACCUGACGUUCAGCAGCCUCGCCCACCUCCUGCAGGCCAAAUCCGAGUUCUGGCACUACAGCUUCUUCUUCAUGGACUACGUGGGGGUUGCUGUUUACCAGUAUGGCAGCGCCCUGGGGCACUAUUACUACGCCAUCGAGCCGAGCUGGCACGAGAGGGUGCGGGGGUUUUACAUGCCGGCGGCCGUGCUCCUGGCCUGGCUGUCCUGUGCUGGCUCCUGCUAUGCCAAGUACCGGUACCACCAGUCCGCCCGGCUCCUGGGCCGGCUGUGCCAGGAGCUGCCCUCGGGCCUGGCCUACCUGCUGGACAUCAGCCCCGUGGUCCAUCGCAUCUGCACCGCGCCGCCCUCGGCGCGCCCGGACCCGGCCCUGCUCUACCACAAGUGCCAGGUGCUGUUUUUCCUCAUCGGUGCCUUUUUCUUCUCGCAGCCUUACCCCGAGAAGUGGUUCCCUGGCAAGUGCCACUUCUUCGGGCAGAGCCACCAGAUCUUCCACGUGUGCCUGGUGCUCUGCACGCUGGCGCAGAUCGAGGCCGUGGUGCUGGACUACGAAUCCAGGCGGCACAUUUAUUCCGCUCUCCAGGGGGACCUGGCACACAACUUCUCUGCCCUUUGCCUCUUCACUGUGACCUGCGCUGUCCUCACAGCCGCCUACAUGGCCCGGAAGGUGAAGAACAAGCUGAGCUUCAAGGAAGAGUAAAAACAGAAAUAGUUCCAGCUUGCUCUUACGAAUGGUACAUAUUUAAUUCAGCUCUGAAUAAAGAGUUGGAACAAAGUGUUUCGGUGCUGCGGCCCUGUGCCCCGACAGUGGUGGCCUGGGGAAGGCUCCUGGAAGCUGCCAGGUCUCACAGCACGAGCCUCUCACAGCCAAGCUAAAAGCAGCCACCCGAAUUCUGGAGAGGAAACCCACCUCGGUGGUGCUCACACAGAGCAGAGCCCCCCAAACUCGCACCAAGCAAACCACCAUCCCCACCUUCUUCAGCUCCCACACAGAUGAAAAAGACAAAGAAAACACCAGGCCGUCUCCUUUCACCUCAAAUAAGGACAGUGAAGACACAGGUGUCCCUCUGGCUGCCUGCCCUGUGAAGAUCUUGGCCUUGCCACAGGUGAAAACAGCCCGGGAUCAACCCUUUGGAUCCGAGGAGGGGGUGCAGGUCACAUCCCAGGGCCGGGCAGGGAAAGCACCUUUGCCAGACUCCUUGGAGCUACAAGUGGAGUCACAGAGCCAGGGUAAAGCCUCCUGUGGGCCAGGAGGGGAUUCCUGGUGCUGCAGCUUCACCCAGGACUCAGAGGGCCCCCGGAUCAUCAGUCACAGGAACAAAUCCCAGUUAUUUGCUGGAGAAACGGUUUCGGGAAGCAGCAGUGUCACAUCAGACUGGGGGGUAACCAAACAGGAGGGCCAGGAGGUGAAGGCUGGACUGGAUUUCCAACCAGGGCUUGGUGCAAAGCAGAGUAAGAAACCACAGCAGUGGAGUAGUGUUAAUUCUUUAAUUGAUUUUGCUGAGACUGAGAAUAUAAAUCCCGUGCCAGGAGCCAGGCCCUGGGCUCCUGGGGGGGUUUGUUCAUCCCCACAGAGCCCAGCGAGAGCUCAGCCCCUGAGAGAGCGUGGCCAGAACAUGGCAGGGGCUGGGGUGGGCUGGGACAGCCCCUGCAGGGAGCUCUUCUGCCAGGACUCGGAGGGGAACAGGGUCAUUGCUCACGGCUGCAGGGACAGGGGCAUUUCCCAGGGGAACAGUUCCAGCUGUGCUGCCUCCAGCCAGCCCCGGGGGCAGCAGCUGGAGCUGGGCCCUGAGUUACUGUUCACACAGGAUUCUGAAGGGAACAGGGUGAUUAAACACUGGUGAGUGACCUCAGUGUCCUGUGUGGCCUCUUGUGCAGCAGGAAAGUGGGAGGGAGGAGCUGGAAGAAAGUUGUCAGAACUUGGGAAGUGAACCUGCUGUGUCUGUGUGCAGGGUAUAACCAGCAGCCACAGGCAGCACCUCUCUGUUUUUUAUUUUGCUUUAAUACAAAUAAAAUGUUGAAGGAGUUUAUUUAUAAGGGGUUUGACUGCUUCCCUCAGGAUCAGAGCCCAUAGUACUGCCCUGUGUUCCUGUCCAGCCUGCACAUGGAGCACAUUCCC